rnacentral:rRNA from 1 species
GAACGGAGCGGAGCGAAGCACGGAGUACUUUAGUAUUAAAUUAAGCUUAUGGGUGCAGGUUGGGUUGGAGUAUAUGGUUUCAAGAAGGCAUAAGGAACCGGAAAGAUUCUAACUUAGAAGGGGGGGCGGAAAGAUUCCAACUAAUUAGGAAGAAUCGCAAAGAUUCUAAUAUCAACUGAGGGUGAAUAAACCGGUGAGAUUCUAACUUGGAAGGAAGAACCUUAAAGAAGAUUCCGAAGAUUCUAUUCUAAGGUAAAACAACAACUCCAAAGGAAAACAAUAACCCGCAAAGGCAAGCUUAAUAAGGAAGUAAAUAAAGUAUUGCGCGCUUUGCUUCGCUCAGUGGCGGACGGGUGAGUAACGCGUGGGUAAUCUGGCCUUAACAACGGGAUAACUGUGAGAAAUUACAGCUAAUACGGUAUAAGCCCCAAACACCGCAUGGUGAAUAGGGAAAAGAGCAUCGGUUAAGGAUGAGCCCGCGUCUGAUUAGCUAGUUGGCGGGAUAAAAGCCCACCAAGGCGACGAUCAGUAGCCGGCCUGAGAGGGUGACCGGCCACAUUGGGACUGAGACACGGCCCAAACUCCUACGGGAGGCAGCAGUGGGGAAUAUUGCGCAAUGGGGGCAACCCUGACGCAGCAACGCCGCGUGAAGGAUGAAGGGUUUCGGCUCGUAAACUUCUUUAGGCGGGGACGAAACAAAUGACGGUACCCGCAGAAUAAGCCCCGGCUAACUACGUGCCAGCAGCCGCGGUAAUACGUAGGGGGCAAGCGUUAUCCGGAAUUACUGGGUGUAAAGGGUGAGUAGGCGGCAGGAUAAGCCAUAUGUGAAAUACCCGGGCUCAACCCGGGAGGUGCAUAAGGAACUGUCCGGCUAGAGUGCAGGAGAGGUAAGCGGAAUUCCUAGUGUAGCGGUGAAAUGCGUAGAUAUUAGGAGGAACACCAGUGGCGAAGGCGGCUUACUGGACUGAAACUGACGCUGAGGCACGAAAGCGUGGGGAGCGAACAGGAUUAGAUACCCUGGUAGUCCACGCUGUAAACGAUGAGAGCUAGGUGUCGGGGGGAGACCUUCGGUGCCGGAGCAAACGCAAUAAGCUCUCCACCUGGGGAGUACGGCCGCAAGGUUGAAACUCAAAGGAAUUGACGGGGGCCCGCACAAGCGGUGGAGCAUGUGGUUUAAUUCGAAGCAACGCGAAGAACCUUACCAAGGCUUGACAUCCCCUUGACCGGUGUAGAGAUACACAAUCCCUUCGGGGCAAGGGUGACAGGUGGUGCAUGGUUGUCGUCAGCUCGUGUCGUGAGAUGUUGGGUUAAGUCCCGCAACGAGCGCAACCCUUACCUUUAGUAGCCAACCGGAAGGAGGCACUCUAGAGGGACUGCCGUGGAUAACACGGAGGAAGGCGGGGACGAGGUCAAAUCAUCAUGCCCCUUAUGUCUUGGGCUACACACGUGCUACAAUGGCUCAUACAAAGAGAAGCGAGCGCGCGAGCGGGAGCAAAGCUCAAAAAAUGAGUCACAGUUCGGAUUGCAGUCUGCAACUCGACUGCAUGAAGCUGGAAUCGCUAGUAAUCGCGAAUCAGCAUGUCGCGGUGAAUACGUUCCCGGGC